GGGGGAGUAGCUCAGUCUGGUAGAGCGCCGCACUUGGUGUGCGGAGGGCGCGGGUUCGGAUCCCGCCUCCACCA
rnacentral:tRNA from 1 species